GCCCGGCUAGCUCAGUCAGUAGAGCAUGAGACUCUUUAAUCUCAGGGUCGUGGGUUUGUGCCCCACGUUGGGCG
rnacentral:tRNA from 1 species